CGGACCCGGCCGCGUAUACGCGUACCGAUAUCCGUUCCGGCACUUCUCUGAGAACGUUGCGCACGCCGUAAAAACGCACUUGUACACGCGGCUACGGGAUAUCGAAACGUCGACGGCGGUGCCUCGGCGGGCCAUAAUAGCGACGACCGUAAUAAUAAUGUCGCAGAUACCGACAAUCUCGAAGCGAAUUCGUCGGCGGUCU